UCAAAACGGAGAGUUUGAUCCUGGCUCAGGAUGAACGCUGGCGGUAUGCUUAACACAUGCAAGUCGAACGGAACCUUUAGGGGUUUAGUGGCGGACGGGUGAGUAACGCGUGAGAAUCUGGCUUCAGGUCUGGGACAACAGUUGGAAACGGCUGCUAAUACCGGAUGUGCCCAUGGGUGAAAGGCUUGCUGCCUGAAGAUGAGCUCGCGUCCGAUUAGUUAGUUGGUGUGGUAAGAGCGCACCAAGACGGCGAUCGGUAGCUGGUCUGAGAGGACGAUCAGCCACACUGGAACUGAGACACGGUCCAGACUCCUACGGGAGGCAGCAGUGGGGAAUUUUCCGCAAUGGGCGAAAGCCUGACGGAGCAAUACCGCGUGAGGGAGGAAGGCUCUUGGGUUGUAAACCUCUUUUCUCAGGGAAUAAAAAAAUGAAGGUACUUGAGGAAUAAGCAUCGGCUAACUCCGUGCCAGCAGCCGCGGUAAUACGGAGGAUGCAAGCGUUAUCCGGAAUGAUUGGGCGUAAAGCGUCCGCAGGUGGUUUAUCAAGUCGGCUGUCAAAGCGUCUGGCUCAACUAGAUAAGGGCAGUGGAAACUGAGAGACUAGAGUAAGGUAGGGGUAGAGGGAAUUCCUGGUGUAGCGGUGAAAUGCGUAGAGAUCAGGAAGAACACCGGUGGCGAAAGCGCUCUGCUGGACUAUUACUGACACUGAGGGACGAAAGCUAGGGGAGCGAAUGGGAUUAGAUACCCCAGUAGUCCUAGCCGUAAACGAUGGAUACUAGGCGUUACGCGUAUCGACCCGCGUAGUGCCGGAGCCAACGCGUUAAGUAUCCCGCCUGGGGAGUACGCCGGCAACGGUGAAACUCAAAGGAAUUGACGGGGGCCCGCACAAGCGGUGGAGUAUGUGGUUUAAUUCGAUGCAACGCGAAGAACCUUACCAGGGCUUGACAUGUCGCGAAUCGGAGGGAAACUUUCGAGUGCCUUAGGGAGCGCGAACACAGGUGGUGCAUGGCUGUCGUCAGCUCGUGUCGUGAGAUGUUGGGUUAAGUCCCGCAACGAGCGCAACCCUCGUACUUAGUUGCCAUCAUUAAGUUGGGAACUCUAAGGAGACUGCCGGUGACAAACCGGAGGAAGGUGGGGAUGACGUCAAGUCAGCAUGCCCCUUACGUCCUGGGCUACACACGUACUACAAUGCUAUGGACAGAGGGCAGCAAGCAUGUGAAUGCAAGCAAAUCUCACAAACCAUGGCUCAGUUCAGAUCGCAGGCUGCAACUCGCCUGCGUGAAGGUGGAAUCGCUAGUAAUUGCAGGUCAGCAUACUGCAGUGAAUUCGUUCCCGGGCCUUGUACACACCGCCCGUCACACCAUGGAAGCUGGUAGUGCCCGAAGUCGUUACUCUAACCAUUCGUGGAGGAGGAUGCCGAAGGCAGGACUGGUGACUGGGGUGAAGUCGUAACAAGGUAGCCGUACCGGAAGGUGUGGCUGGAUCACCUCCUUUU
rnacentral:rRNA from 1 species